GGGUCGUUAGCUCAGUCGGUAGAGCAGUGGAUUUUUAAUCCAUUGGUCGGGCGUUCGAGUCGCCCACGGCCCACCA
rnacentral:tRNA from 1 species